rnacentral:rRNA from 1 species
UACGAAGGGAGCUAGCGUUGUUCGGAAUCACUGGGCGUAAAGCGCACGUAGGCGGAUGUGUCAGUCAGGGGUGAAAUCCCGGAGCUCAACUUCGGAACUGCCUUUGAUACAGCACGUCUUGAGUCCGGAAGAGGUGGGUGGAAUUCCUAGUGUAGAGGUGAAAUUCGUAGAUAUUAGGAAGAACACCGGUGGCGAAGGCGGCCCACUGGUCCGGUACUGACGCUGAGACACGAAAGCGUGGGGAGCAAACAGG